rnacentral:rRNA from 1 species
CAUUUAAAGAGUGCGUAAUAGCUCACUAGUCGAGUGACACUGCGCCGAAAAUGUACCGGGGCUAAACAUAUUACCGAAGCUGUGGAUUGUCCUUUGGACAAUGGUAGGAGAGCGUUCUAAGGGCGUUGAAGCAUGAUCGUAAGGACAUGUGGAGCGCUUAGAAGUGAGAAUGCCGGUGUGAGUAGCGAAAGACGGGUGAGAAUCCCGUCCACCGAUUGACUAAGGUUUCCAGAGGAAGGCUCGUCCGCUCUGGGUUAGUCGGGUCCUAAGCUGAGGCCGACAGGCGUAGGCGAUGGAUAACAGGUUGAUAUUCCUGUACCACCUAUAAUCGUUUUAAUCGAUGGGGGGACGCAGUAGGAUAGGCGAAGCGUGCGAUUGGAUUGCACGUCUAAGCAGUAAGGCUGAGUAUUAGGCAAAUCCGGUACUCGUUAAGGCUGAGCUGUGAUGGGGAGAAGACAUUGUGUCUUCGAGUCGUUGAUUUCACACUGCCGAGAAAAGCCUCUAGAUAGAAAAUAGGUGCCCGUACCGCAAACCGACACAGGUAGUCAAGAUGAGAAUUCUAAGGUGAGCGAGCGAACUCUCGUUAAGGAACUCGGCAAAAUGACCCCGUAACUUCGGGAGAAGGGGUGCUCUUUAGGGUUAACGCCCAGAAGAGCCGCAGUGAAUAGGCCCAAGCGACUGUUUAUCAAAAACACAGGUCUCUGCUAAACCGUAAGGUGAUGUAUAGGGGCUGACGCCUGCCCGGUGCUGGAAGGUUAAGAGGAGUGGUUAGCUUCUGCGAAGCUACGAAUCGAAGCCCCAGUAAACGGCGGCCGUAACUAUAACGGUCCUAAGGUAGCGAAAUUCCUUGUCGGGUAAGUUCCGACCCGCACGAAAGGCGUAACGAUUUGGGCACUGUCUCAACGAGAGACUCGGUGAAAUCAUAGUACCUGUGAAGAUGCAGGUUACCCGCGACAGGACGGAAAGACCCCGUGGAGCUUUACUGUAGCCUGAUAUUGAAAUUCGGCACAGCUUGUAC